rnacentral:rRNA from 1 species
UGGGGGAUAUUGCACAAUGGGCGAAAGCCUGAUGCAGCGACGCCGCGUGGGGGAUGAAGGCCUUCGGGUUGUAAACUUCUUUUGCUCUGAACAAGGCAUGCCUUUGGGGUGUGUUGAGUGUAGGGGUUGAUUAGCGCCGGCUAACUACGUGCCAGCAGCCGCGGUAAUACGUAGGGCGCGAGCGUUGUCCGGAAUUAUUGGGCGUAAAGGGCUUGUAGGUGGCUGGUUGCGUCUGUCGUGAAAGCUCAUGGCUUAACUGUGGGUUUGCGGUGGGUACGGGCUGGCUUGAGUGCAGUAGGGGAGGCUGGAAUUCCUGGUGUAGCGGUGGGAUGCGCAGAUAUCAGGAGGAAUACCGGUUGCGAAGGCGGGUCUCUGGGCUGUUACUGACGCUGAGGAGCGAAAGCGUGGGGAGCGAACAGG